rfam:Hordeum vulgare subsp. vulgare, WGS project CAJW01000000 data, contig: morex_contig_56774
CUUUUACUCCCUCCGUCCGAAAAUACUUGUCCUAGAAAUAGAUGUAUCUAGACUUAUNUUAGUUAUAGAUACAUCCAUUUUGUACAUUUUUAAGACAGGUAUUUUUGGACGGAGGGAGUAGUAC